AUGAGACCCAAAGAUAUUGCCCCAAAGAUAUUUGACCUCUCAAAAAAGAAAUCUACCUCGGUCCAAAAAGCUCUCCUCAACAAUUAUUGGGUUAGUCAGAUUGAUGCCCAUCAUGGGCUCACCAUGGAGCAUAUUCAGGAGUUCGCGUUGCUAUGGGAAAAGCUAUCCUCUGUUACUCUCGACAAUGAUGCGCAUGAUACUAUCCUAUGGAAGUUCACGUCUCAUGAAGAAUACUCGGCGUCGACGGCCUAUAUGGCGCAGUUUGCGGGACACACGACAAGCAUCAUGCCUGCUGCUGUUUGGAAGGGUUGGGCCUCUCCGAAAUGCAAUUUUUUUGCUUGGUUGAUAAUUCAAAACAGAGUUUGGACAGCUGAUCGAUUGCACCGUCGUGGAUGGCCGAACUGCAACCUCUGCCCGCUUUGCAAGCAAGUCCAGGAAACCGCAGCACACCUUCUCUUCCAAUGCGGGUUCUCCCAGCGUGUCUGGAUCAAGGUUGCAACAUGGCUUGGUAUACAUGGUGAUGUGGUAAGGAGCUGGCGAAAUGAGGUUUCGGUUCGAGAAUGGUGGAUUAAAAAUGUGGUUGAGCGUGGAGAUAAGAGAAAGGCUAUCGCCUCCUUGUUCAUGCUCAUGUCUUGGGAGAUUUGGAAAGAGCGUAAUGGAAGGGUUUUCCGUAACAUCGCCGCUACGACGAUGAUGCUCAUCAUGAAGAUAAAAGAGGAGGCCCAUCUUUGGGCUAUUGCCGGUGCCACCCACUUGAGUAUUGUAAUGCCGCGAGAGUAG
rnacentral:rRNA from 1 species